rnacentral:rRNA from 1 species
UAGCCGUAAACGAUACUCGCUAGGUGUCGGCCACGGUGCGACCGUUGUCGGUGCCGUAGGGAAGCCGUGAAGCGAGCCACCUGGGAAGUACGGCCGCAAGGCUGAAACUUAAAGGAAUUGGCGGGGGGAGGCACAACAACGGGUGGAGCUUGCGGUUUAAUUGGAUUCAACGCCGGAAAUCUUACCGGGACCGACAGCAACAUGAAGGCCAAGCUGAAGACUUUGCCGGAUUAGCUGAGAGGAGGUGCAUGGCGUAGUCGUGU